AGGGGCGUAGUGUCAAUGGUAGCACAAGGGUCUCCAAAACCUUUAGUUCGGGUUCAAAUCCUGACGCCCCUG
rnacentral:tRNA from 3 species